rnacentral:rRNA from 1 species
AGUGAACGCUGGCGGUAGGCCUAACACAUGCAAGUCGAACGGCAGCACAGUAAGAGCUUGCUCUUACGGGUGGCGAGUGGCGGACGGGUGAGGAAUACAUCGGAAUCUACUUUUUCGUGGGGGAUAACGGAGGGAAACUUACGCUAAUACCGCAUACGACCUACGGGUGAAAGCAGGGGAUCUUCGGACCUUGCGCGAUUGAAUGAGCCGAUGUCGGAUUAGCUAGUUGGCGGGGUAAAGGCCCACCAAGGCGACGAUACGUAGCUGGUCUGAGAGGAUGAUCAGCCACACUGGAACUGAGACACGGUCCAGACUCCUACGGGAGGCAGCAGUGGGGAAUAUUCGACAAUGGGCGCAAGCCUGAUCCAGCAAUGCCGCGUGAGUGAAGAAGGCCUUCGGGUCGUAAAGCCCUUUUGUUGGGAAAGAAAAGCAGUAGGUUAAUCCCUGGAUGUUCUGACGGUACCCAAAGAAUAAGCACCGGCUAACUUCGUG